AAUUAGAAAGCGAAGAUCGCAUUUAGUUUCGACCUAAACCUUGGUAAACACCUCUAAUUU
rnacentral:tRNA from 1 species